UAUGAUCUUUCAUCAACAUUUGCUUAAGUACAAUGGAUGGCUAUGAUUCUCAAUGGCAGUUAACCGUUGUGUACAUAUCUGCCAUUGCGCAUCAUAUUGUAAUAUUAGUAACAUAUUCAAAUAUGUUUUACAGUUAUAUCAUGGAAAUUAGUUUGGGUAACCUUGUUGCAUAUAUUUAUGGGUUAAACAUCGACAAGGUCCUGGAGGGUAAAUUCUGGACAAUUCAAAGGGACGAUAAGAAAGUUGAUACUCUCCGCAGACCCCCUCGGGUCCCUGUUUAAGGGCUGAUCCCGAAGCGCCAUGCAGUACUUCUUUCACAGUCUGUGUUAAUUAGACAAUCUUGGAGUCGUUCGCCGCAAAGCUUUUAAAGAAAUAUGCAAAAGAAUAAAACAGAUUACACAAAGAGAUCGGCAAAUCUGAAGCGCUUGGUUAUGGAUAUGAGCUAGAAAGAAGAUUGUCUCUGCAAGACACCCUCUGUCCUGAGGCUUGGAUCUGGGCAUUUGAAAGCCAAGCACGUGGCCCUGCAUCGGUGACAGGACGUUGUCCAGUAAGUCGGUAUACUACAGUGAUGGUCUCUGACAUUCUGUUUAGACAAAUCUAUUUAUUUAACACGUGUUGUGGUGGGUCCCCGUUUGACUUCUUCUCUUCCAAAUGCUCACCUAAUGGAAGGCUACUUUUAGUGCAUUUGUCUUUCUCUCUCUAUUUACUUAAAACAAAACUUCAAAGGGCGACGAGAUUUAAAAUAAUGAUCCGUGCAUACACAUUCCCUGUACUGCGGGAUAUGUUGGGUAUUUUUAGACAAGGUUUCAUAUAGUGAAGUGACUGGUACGAAGUUUCACUCUCGCUGUAGAAGCAAAUAUAUUUUUCCUGUUAACAGACUCCUCAUCGGAAGCAACAACAAUAAAAAGAAAGGACGACAUUACCUGAUUUUCUGGCCUUCCUGGAUCUGUUCCUUCUAACGGAAAUGCAGCCAAAAAAAAAUCAAAAACUUUAUAACUCAUGAUACUGAUACAAAACUGACUUUUUAUUUUCUUUUUAUGAAUUGGUACACUUAGCUUUUAGAUUGGGUUUUUCAUAAUUGUCUGUUCAAAACUUGGUCACGGAUUUUUAAAAUUGAUAUUGUUUUGUAAAAGAUUGUUGAUAUUCUUUUUAUAUUUGUGAUGUAAUCAGAUAGGUUUGCAGUUAUUAAUUAAAAUUCUAUUUGGAAAUUAUAUGUAAAAGUGUUAAUAAUUGUUUGAAAUGUGACAAUAUUUGUAUUUAUUAUUUGUUUAAUGAUAAAGAAAUGUUCAUUACCAUGAAAAGUUUUAUUUUUCUUUCUUCUAUUGAUUUUACCCGAAAAUUGUGGAAUUUUGCAAAAUACAAAAUACCUUGUCAUCUCAUUUAUCACUUGUCAUAUCAUUUCCAUUAGGAUAUAAACGGAGUGUUGUUCCAAUUUUGGUUUUCAAUUUUUUGUAAUAACUACGCUAUAUUAUAGGGAACAAAAAGAGGUAUUAGUCACUUUAAUAAUAGCUUAAUAAUCAAAAUAUAAGAAAUUAUUUGAAAAAUGAAAGAAGAAAAAAUAGUCUUAUGAGUGGUCACAAUUAUAUACAUGGUAUCAAAGAAAAUUAAAGAAAAGAAAAUUAUGUACAUAAAAUUACAAUGAAGAAGUUCUCAAGAAGUAUUUACAUGUUAGACAUUUCUUUCUUGAAUAAUGUAUUAACGUCGAAAAAAA